rnacentral:rRNA from 1 species
UACGGAGGGGGCUAGCGUUGUUCGGAAUUACUGGGCGUAAAGGGCUCGUAGGCGGCCAACUAAGUCGGAUGUGAAAUCCCCAGGCUUAACCUGGGAACUGCAUCCGAUACUGGAUGGCUUGAAUUCGGGAGAGGGAUGCAGAAUUCCAGGUGUAGCGGUGAAAUGCGUAGAUAUCUGGAGGAAUACCGGUGGCGAAGGCGGCAUCCUGGACCGACAUUGACGCUGAUGAGCGAAAGCUAGGGGAGCAAACGGG